rnacentral:misc_RNA from 1 species
UUAAAUAUUAUAUAGUACUCAGACAUCACUAAACAUAGAGUUUGGGUCCUCUGGCAGACACUAUCAGCCGGAGCCGACGCCCGAAGGCGGCCUGCCAAAGCAACAAAGGUAUGUAGACACGGUUUAAGGGAAUAGAACCCAUUCUUAUGAAAAAAACGGGACGUUUCUCUUUUUUUUAAUGAUCCUUCCGCAGGUUCACCUACGGAAA